CCCCACUCACGACCUCUACUCCCAAUGCCCCUAGUGGUCAUCAUUAGGAUAGUUGGUGCAAGAGGUCGAUGCACUGGAACUCCAUCUCCAACAAUUGUGACUGUGUGAUUGGAAAGGCUGGUGCUACACAACCAAACGAAACCCCCCUCCUCUCUCUGGAUGAGCUGUUAGGGCACCCUUUGCCUCUUCCCAGGAAUCUUGCUGGCCAGCUAAUUGCUCAGCUAGGGAGGCAUCUGCAGUCAGUGACAUCUAGGACAAUGAGGACUAGUCAUCCUGAAGAGGUGAUAACGCACAAUGUAGCAUUACAGUGUAAGGACUGGAGGGAGGACUAGGCCUCGCUUAGAGCCAAAUCAAAGGGACCAGCUCAGAGGACUGGGCGGGAUUCCUGGCUUCACCCCCAGCAGAAGCUCUGGUCUCCUGGUGAGUCUGUCCCAGGAGGAGGAGGAGGAGGACCCCGAGGAAGAAGCAGGCCGAGAGCUGCUGGGGAGAUGGGAAGGCCGCAGCCUGUGAGGAAGAAGGACCAGGACAUCCGUGCAAGGCCUCCGGAGGGAAGUGGUUCUUCUGUACGGAUCGCUGGGGAUCUACAUUGCCAGAACGAGAACAUUGAGGCGCUCCAGAGGAUGAUCAGGGCUUUGCUGGAGGAGGCCCCCUCUGUCUGGAACUUAAUCAGCAUCUUGAAGAUCUGACUACUGGGAUCUGACUACUGGAGUGGAGAAAAUGGAAAGAGCUGAGGUAGGGAUCCAUUCAGAAAAGGGCCUUCCUCCCUAGAGCCCAGGACAUUUCUCUGAGAGGCAUUUGCCCCAUACGGGAUCUGAAAGCUCCCACUCUCUGCUCUGAUCCCUUUCCCACUUCUGCAUUAUCCCUGAGAGGCAGAAGCAGAAUAUUCCAUGGAGGGGGUGGGGUCCCCAGAAAGGACCUGAGAGCAGCCCACCAAGUAAGGGUGCCCGCUCCAUUUCCAGGAAGGCACGGAGAGUCCUUCAUCUCUAACAGCUCAAUGCUUCUAAUAUUCAGGUCAUCCUCUGCUGGACUGAAUUCUUGACGUCCAUUAUUGACGGUAUUAAGGAUGCCAAGUCCUGUGAAAGUGAGAUGCUGUCGUAUGAAAAAGACAAGGCUGUGGAUGCCGUACUAGAGAGUGAGAUGUGGCAGAGAAUGGAAGAUGAUGACCAAGCACAGGCUCAGUCAAAACGUGA